AGAGUUUGAUCAUGGCUCAGGACGAACGCUGGCGGCGUGCCUAAUACAUGCAAGUCGAGCGAACCUUUAGGAGCUUGCUCCUGAAGGUUAGCGGCGGACGGGUGAGUAACACGUGGGCAACCUGCCUGUAAGACUGGGAUAACUUCGGGAAACCGGAGCUAAUACCGGAUAAUUCUUUUCUCUCAUGGGAAAGACUGAAA
rnacentral:rRNA from 1 species